rnacentral:rRNA from 1 species
UACGGAGGGGGCUAGCGUUGUUCGGAAUUACUGGGCGUAAAGCGCACGUAGGCGGCUUUUUAGGUCAGGGGUGAAAUCCCGGGGCUCAACCCCGGAACUGCCUUUGAAACUGGAGAGCUAGAAUCUUGGAGAGGCGAGUGGAAUUCCGAGUGUAGAGGUGAAAUUCGUAGAUAUUCGGAAGAACACCAGUGGCGAAGGCGACUCGCUGGACAAGUAUUGACGCUGAGGUGCGAAAGCGUGGGGAGCAAACAGG